rnacentral:rRNA from 1 species
AUUGAACGCUGGCGGCAGGCCUAACACAUGCAAGUCGAGCGGAUGAGGGUAGCUUGCUACCUGAUUCAGCGGCGGACGGGUGAGUAAUGCCUAGGAAUCUGCCCGAUAGUGGGGGACAACGUUUCGAAAGGAACGCUAAUACCGCAUACGUCCUACGGGGGCAAGUGGGGGAUCUUCGGACCUCACGCUAUCGGAUGCGCCUAGGUCGGAUUAGCCAGUUGGUGAGGUAAUGGAUCACCAAGGCUACGAUCCGUAACUGGUCUGAGAGGAUGAUCAGUCACACUGGAACUGAGACACGGUCCAGACUCCUACGGGAGGCAGCAGUGGGGAAUAUUGGACAAUGGGCGAAAGCCUGAUCCAGCCAUGCCGCGUGUGUGAAGAAGGUCUUCGGAUUGUAAAGCACUUUAAGUUGGGAGGAAGGGCUGUAGGCUAAUAUCCUGCAGUUUUGACGUUACCAACAGAAUAAGCACCGGCUAACUUCGUGCCAGCCGCCGCGGUAA